UUGCUUUUAGAAAAGAAAUCACAGAAUCACUGAAUCAUCUAGGUUGGAAGAUACCUCCAGGAUCACCGAAUCCACCCACUGACCUAACACUAACAAGUCCUCCACUAAACCAUAUCCCUAAGCUCUACAUCUAAACGUCUUUUAAAGACCUCCAGGGAUUGU